UUGGAGGCAGUCUGGUGCAGCAGCGCGGUAUUCCAGCUCCAAUAGCGUAUAUUAAAGUUGUUGCAGUUAAAAAGCUCGUAGUUGAAUUUCGGGAUCAGAGUGUCGGUCGUGCCUCGGUACGCACUGUAUUAUUGGUUCCUACCUUCUGAAGAGCCGCGAUGUCAUUAAUUUGGUGUCGUGGGGAAUCAGGACUGUUACUUUGAAAAAAUUAGAGUGUUUAAAGCAGGCUUACGCUUGAAUACAUUAGCAUGGAAUAAUGAAAUAGGACGUUUGAUUCUAUUUUGUUGGUUUCUAGGAUUGACGUAAUGAUUAAUAGGGAUAGUUGGGGGCAUUAGUAUUCAAUUGUCAGAGGUGAAAUUCUUGGAUUUAUUGAAGACUAACUACUGCGAAAGCAUUUGCCAAGGAUGUUUUCAUUAAUCAAGAACGAAAGUUAGGGGAUCGAAGACGAUCAGAUACCGUCGUAGUCUUAACCAUAAACUAUGCCGACUAGGGAUCGGAUGAUGUUAAUUUUUUAAUGACUCAUUCGGCGCCUUACGGGAAAC
rnacentral:rRNA from 1 species